CUAAGGUCACCAUGCGGAAUCGGCGAGGACGAAGGAGGUUUGUAGGACUGCCUGCGUUGUGAUUGCUGAGACUUGUAGCUGGGUGCAGAGGACGAAGCUUGAGAAGACCUUUGAGGAGAUUUCAAAGAGACAGCCGACUUUGUCUUCGAGGAAGACUUUUUCGCAGCGACCGGUUUUU